rnacentral:lncRNA from 1 species
GAAAGUGGGCUUUUACCUGAAUGAAGGCUCUGGCUCAGCUUCUGUGGUUUGGCACAUCCCAGAAAAGGAAACGGGCCACCCAGCUUUCUGGCCUGAGUCUUGUUUCUCACCUGCCUAAGGGAUCAGGCACUGAAGCCAAGGGCCCAAGUUCUUAUGCUGAUGGAUGGACAGGCCUUUCCCUUUCCCCUACCCUCUACCCCUGCUCCAGAGAAGGAGAAACGAGACAGCCAGGUCAUCAUCGACAAUCUGCGGGACAUGCUGGAAGAACGCAAUGCUACUGUGGUAUCUCUGCAGCAGGCCUUGGGCAAGGCCGAGAUGCUGUGCUCUACAUUGAAAAAGCAGAUGAAGUACUUGGAGCAGCAGCAGGAUGAGACCAAACAAGCCCAAGAGGAGGCCCGCCGACUCAGGAGCAAGAUGAAGACCAUGGAGCAGUGAGUUUGGAGCUGGGUCCUGCACUGUGCCUUUGCCCCCAGGCCCUGCAAGUUCUUAGGACUGCAGCAGGGAGUGGGAUUGGGUCAUGUCCGAGGCUCAAAUCUCCAUAGGCCAUGGAGGGCUCAGGUCAGCUGGGUGUGGGCACAGAUCUUAGCCUCUAUGAACUCUUCCACCAUUCCAAGGAAUGGGAGCCCUUGCCACAUUCCUCCCUGUCUCUGUUGCCUGUGGCCAGAUGACCUGGUGGGUUUUUCCCUUCAGGAACCUCUCUCCGGGAGAUCCCUGACCUUGAGACCCUCUUUCAGCACCUCUUCUUUCUCAGCAGCAUCCUUGGAGCUAUGCUUAUCUCUGCCGUGGGGCCUUUGCUUGGGCACACCCACCUGCUAAACAUCCUAGCAGCCUAGCCUGUUACCUUAGCAACGGCAGCAAAGGAAGGCAGAGCUGCACUGGGUACCUACCCAUCAGCCUCCAGAUUGCAAAUGCCGUGGGCUGGGUGUGUUUUUCAGGAUUGAGCUUCUACUCCAGAGCCAGCGCCCAGAGGUGGAGGAGAUGAUCCGAGACAUGGGUGUGGGACAGUCAGCGGUGGAACAGCUGGCUGUGUACUGUGUGUCUCUCAAGAAGUGCGUACUCUGGCCCCUCUCAGCAAACACGGGAGAUAGGCCAUGGGGCUCCUGCCAUGUCAUUGCUUCCCAUCUCUUGUAAAGCAGAUGGAGCUAAGGGGCAAACUCUGGAGCCAUGCUGCCUUUGAACCCUGAUUCCACCUCUCCGCACCUAUGUGGCCUGGUGCCAGUUUCUUGGCUUCUUUGACCUUCAACUUCCUGAAUGGAGAUAGUAGUAGACCUGCCUCAUAGGAUUGUUGAG